rnacentral:rRNA from 1 species
UACGUAGGGGGCGAGCGUUGUCCGGAUUCAUUGGGCGUAAAGCGCUUUAAGGUGGUUCGCUAAGUCGGGUGUGAAACCUCCAGGCUCAACCUGGAGACGCCACUCGAUACUGGCGUGACUAGAGUUCGGUAGGGGACCACGGGAAUUCCUGGUGUAGCGGUGAAAUGACGCAGAUAUCAGGAGGAACACCAGUGGCGAAGGCGGUGGUCUGGGCCGAUACUGACGCUGUAGAGCGAAAGCGUGGGGAGCGAACAGG